AUCUUUGCCCUUCGGUUUUGUUGAAGUAUGCCUUUCGAUAUGCUUCAUGAAAAGGGAAUUGGGUGUAACUCCCAAACAGUCCCGCUGCUGUAAGCUCAUUAUAGAGGAUUUACCAAUCACCUAUGCCACUGCCGGUAUUCGCACGGUGGGAAGGCGGUAAAUCCUGAGUAAGUCAGAAGACCUGCAAAACCUAUCAAAUUUUAU
rnacentral:ncRNA from 21 species